rnacentral:rRNA from 1 species
AUCGAACGCUGGCGGCAUGCUUUACACAUGCAAGUCGAACGGCAGCAUGGGUGCUUGCACCUGAUGGCGAGUGGCGAACGGGUGAGUAAUAUAUCGGAACAUGUCCGGAAGUGGGGGAUAACGUAGCGAAAGUUACGCUAAUACCGCAUAUGCCCUGAGGGGGAAAGGAGGGGAUCGAAAGACCUUUCGCUUUCGGAGUGGCCGAUAUCAGAUUAGCUAGUUGGUGAGGUAAAGGCUCACCAAGGCGACGAUCUGUAGCGGGUCUGAGAGGAUGAUCCGCCACAAUGGGACUGAGACACGGCCCAGACUCCUACGGGAGGCGGCAGUGGGGAAUUUUGGACAAUGGGGGCAACCCUGAUCCAGCCAUGCCGCGUGAGUGAAGAAGGCCUUCGGGUUGUAAAGCUCUUUCGGACAGAAAGAAAUCGUGCAGUCUAAUACACUGCAUGGAUGACGGUACUGUAAGAAGAAGCACCGGCUAACUACGUGCCAGCCGCCGCCGUAA